rnacentral:rRNA from 1 species
AUUGAACGCUGGCGGCAGGCCUAACACAUGCAAGUCGAACGAGUGGCGGACGGGUGAGUAAUGUGUGGGAAACUGCCCGAUGGAGGGGGAUAACUACUGGAAACGGUCGCUAAUACCGCAUACCAUCGGAUUUGCCCAGAUGGGAUUAGCGGGUAGGGGGGGUAAUGGCUCACCUAGGCGACGAUCCCUAGCUGGUAUGAGAGGUUGACGAGCAACACUGGAACGGAGAAACGGCCCAGACUCCAACGGGAGGCAGCAGUGGGGAAUAUUGCACAAGGGGCGCAAGCCUGAGGCAGCCAGGCCGCGUGUAUGAAGAAGGCCUUCGGGUUGUAAAGUACUUUCAGCGGGGAGGCGUUACCCGCAGAAGAAGCACCGGCUAACUCCGUGCCAGCAGCCGCGGUAAUAC